rnacentral:rRNA from 1 species
UACGUAGGGUGCGAGCGUUAAUCGGAAUUACUGGGCGUAAAGCGUGCGCAGGCGGUUCGUUAAGACAGAUGUGAAAAUCCCCGGGCUUAACCCGUGGGAACUGCAUUUGUGACUGGCGAGCUAGAGUAUGGCAGAGGGGGGGUAGAAUUCCACGUGUAGCAGUGAAAUGCGUAGAGAUGUGGAGGAAUACCGAUGGCGAAGGCAGCCCCCUGGGCCAAUACUGACGCUCAUGCACGAAAGCGUGGGGAGCAACAGG